ACCGAAGCCCGUAACCGCCUCCGGGCGUGACGGGCGGCUGGUAUCCUCCUUCUGAGGGGUGUAUGGCGCAGCGUGGGCCGGCCUUCGGGUCGCGCAUUCCCAGCGUUGCGGCGGACCACCCCUUGGGCAACUCAGUGGGGGCAAUUGGAUAGCCUGUGGGCACCUUUGGCGGCUUCGGCCCCAGAGGUGGCCUGGGCUGGGUGCUGGGCUUCGGUCCACGCCCCGACCUCUUAGCUAACCCUGACCCCCUCUUCAUUGAGGGUCACCGGUGGUCCUCCGUCCUUCGGGGCGGGAUGGCCUCCCGGUUAAGAUAGUUACCUGGUUGAUUCUGCCAGUAGUCAUAUGCUUGUCUCAA
rnacentral:misc_RNA from 1 species